GACGAACGCUGGCGGCGUGCCUAACACAUGCAAGUCGAACGGAAAGGCCCUGCUUUUGUGGGGUGCUCGAGUGGCGAACGGGUGAGUAUCACGUGAGUAACCUGCCCUUGACUUUGGGAUAACUUCUGGAAACUGGGGCUAAUACCGGAUAGGAGCUCCUGCUGCAUGGUGGGGGUUGGAAAGUUUCGGCGGUUGGGGAUGGACUCGCGGCUUAUCAGCUUGUUGGUGGGGUAGUGGCUUACAAAGGCUUUGACGGGUAGCCGGCCUGAGAGGGUGACAGGCCACAUUGGGACUGAGAUACGGCCCAGAGUCCUACGGGAGGCAGCAGUGGGGAAUAGUGCAAAAUGGGCGGAAGCCUGAUGCAGCAACGCCGCGUGCGGGAUGACGGCCUUCGGGUUGUAAACCGCUUUCGCCUGUGACGAAGCGUGAGUGACGGUAAUGGGUAAAGAAGCACCGGCUAACUACGUG
rnacentral:rRNA from 1 species